GUCUACAUGAUGUAGGUAAUCUUGAAAGUGUCUACAUGAUGUAAGUAAUCUUUAAAGUGUCUACAUGAUGUAGGUAAUCUUUAAAGGGUCUACAUGAUGUAGGUAAUCUUUAAAGUGUCUACAUGAUGUAGGUAAUCUUUAAAGUGUCUACAUGAUGUAGGUAAUCUUUAAAGUGUCUAUAUGAAGUAAAGAUUUGUGCCAUUUGUAUAUUAUAUCAUUUUUUUCUGAUAACAAAGAACGGAAGAAAGACUGUCAUAUCAUAUUUUUUUCUAGUAUUUUUGUGCUCAUGUCUCACAGAUUGUCAGAAAGGGUACACAGAGUGUUCCCAACACUGUAUUCAUGAUUCAAUAAAUAAUCUGUAAUAACACAAUAACAA